rnacentral:tRNA from 1 species
UCAUGGUUAGCUCAGUUGGUAGAGCGCUCCGCUAGAAACGGUGAGGUCCCCGGUUCGAUACCAGGACCGGGCG